rnacentral:tRNA from 1 species
CGGGGUGUGGGAAAGAUGGCUAAUCCGCCUGCUUUGGGAGCAGGAAAUCGCUGGUUCGAGCCCAGCCACCCCGA